rnacentral:rRNA from 1 species
AGAGUUUGAUCAUGGCUCAGGACGAACGCUGGCGGCGUGCCUAAUACAUGCAAGUCGAGCGCAUGAAGCAGACUGAAACCUUCGGGUGGACGUCUGUGGAUUGAGCGGCGGAUGGGUGAGUAACACGUGGGUAACCUACCUACAAGCUUGGGAUAACUCGUGGAAACGCGAACUAAUACCAAAUGCGAUCUUUACCUCCUGGUAAAAGAUUAAAAGACGGUUUCGGCUGUCACUUGUAGACGGGCCCGUGGCGCAUUAGCUAGUUGGUGAGAUAAAAGCUUACCAAGGCAACGAUGCGUAGCCGACCUGAGAGGGUGAUCGGCCACACUGGGACUGAGACACGGCCCAGACUCCUACGGGAGGCAGCAGUAGGGAAUCUUCCGCAAUGGACGAAAGUCUGACGGAGCGACGCCGCGUGAAUGAUGAAGAUCUUCGGAUCGUAAAAUUCUGUUGUUAGGGAUGAACAAGUGUGAGGGUAACUACUCACACCUUGACAGUACUUAACCAGAAAGCCCCGGCUAACUACGUGCCAGCAGCCGCGGUAAUACGUAGGGGGCGAGCGUUGUCCGGAAUUAUUGGGCGUAAAGGGUACGCAGGCGGUUCUUUAAGUCUGAUGUGAAAUCUCACAGCUUAACUGUGAGCGGUCAUUGGAAACUGAGGAACUUGAGUAUAGAAGAGAAGAGUGGAAUUCCAAGUGUAGCGGUGAAAUGCGUAGAUAUUUGGAGGAACACCAGUGGCGAAGGCGACUCUUUGGUCUAUUACUGACGCUGAGGUACGAAAGCAUGGGUAGCAAACAGGAUUAGAUACCCUGGUAGUC